GUGCCUACUGCAGUGCUAAGCCAUUGGUACACUUAAAUAAUGUUUUUUGAACAAAAGAUAAGUAUAAGAAUGUUGGAUUAUCUGGUUGGUUAUAUUUAAACAGACAUCUGCCUUUACAGCAUUUACAGAGCAUUUCUAGUAGGUUACUUUUCAGGAUGUCACUUGGUCUUGUCACGUCUCCCCUGAUACUACUGCAACUAAACUUAUCUCCCCCUUCAGUAAGUUUAAAUUCUAUUAAAUUUGAUCUUUUCAAUUAGUUCCACUCAUACACACACAGAAGCAUUCCUCAAGGAAACUAUGAAAUGAAAAGUUCAUGAUGGGUAAAAAAAAAAAAAAAGAAAAAGAAAGAAAAAGGUAAGUGGAAAAGAAUUUGGCGCUUUGGAAAAAACAAUAUAUUUUGUGAUGAUUUUUCUCCCAUGAACGUUUGAAUUCAAAAGAUAAGAUACGGAUUCAGGAUGAGUGUCUAAUCUGGGGCUUGGAGAAGAGUGAUAUCAGGAAAUAUAUGUGAGUCUUUGGAAAACACCUAAGUGAUGCACUAAAGUAAAG
rnacentral:lncRNA from 1 species